AAAGGAAUUGACGGAAGUGCACCACCAGGAGUGGAGCCUGCGGCUCAAUUUGACUCAACACGGGGAAACUCACCCGGCCCGGACACUGUAAGGAUUGACAGAUUGAGAGCUCUUUCUUGAUUCGGUGGAUGGUGGUGCAUGGCCGUUCUUAGUUGGUGGAUUGAUUUGUCUGGUUUAUUCCGAUAACGAACGAGACUCUAGCCUGCUAAAUAGGGCAUCCUCAGGCCCGGAGGAGAGCCUUAUUCAACUUCUUAGAGGGACAGGUGCCGUUCAGGCACACGAAAUUGAGCAAUAACAGGUCUGUGAUGCCCUUAGAUGUUCGGGGCCGCACGCGCGCUACAGUGAAAGAAUCAGAGUGCUUUUCCUGCGCCGAAAGGCGUGGGCAACCCCUAUAAACUCUUUCGUGCUUGGGAUUGGGGUUUGCAAUUAUCGCCCAUGAACGAGGAAUUCCCAGUAAGCGUGAGUCAUCAGCUUGCGUUGAUUACGUCCCUGCCCUUUGUACACACCGCCCGUCGCUACUACCGAUUGGAUGGUCUAGUGAGGUCAUCGGACUUGCUGCGAGGUUGAGGUUUACCCUCGACCUUGUCGUGCGAGGAAGAUAAUCAAGCUGUAUCAUCUAGAGGAAGUAAAAGUCGUAACAAGGUUUUC
rnacentral:rRNA from 1 species